GGAUUUAUGGGAUAGAAGUAAAGAAAAGAGAAGAGAACCGGAGAAGAGAAAAGACGAGGGAAAAUCCAUAGAAAUAAAAAAUUGAUGCCGUUAUCGUUUUCCGAGUUCUGACCUCUCUUAGUUCCGACUCUCAACACUGCUCGUAGUUAUACAUAUCCAUUCCACCGUUUGCCUUCACAUUCCUAUUUCUAUCUCCUUCAUUGCUUCAUCCUUCAAUUUCCAGCUAACUGAGCAGAACCAAAUCAAGAAGAAGAUGAUGACAAGGUUGAUGAUCGUGGGUUUGGGAUUACUCGAUUUCCUUGUAGCUGGCCUUUCUUUGAUGAUUGCUUUGGCGUUCUUCGCUCUCAUUACUUCCGUUCUAUGCGCUGCCGCAUUCUACAACAACACCAAGAGCGUUUCUUGAAUCGUCCUUCAACAACUACCGCUUCUCCACUAAGAAUUAUUUUUGUGGAUUCUUUUGUCAAGAUGAAGAUUGCUUUUUCUAUGAGCAGCAGCUUCAUCAUAUAUACUUGAGGUUGUUAUUUUGAGCCACUAGAAAAUGUAGGAACAGCAACAGCAACCACUAGCGAAAUAUGUAGGAUUUAUUCACUUUUGAAUAUCACUAAAUAAAUUAAGUUCAAGUGAAAAAUUUAUUGUAAUAUGAUUUAUGAUAAUGUAGAAUGAAUAUUAUAAAUUGUGAAUUAAUUGAAGAUAUUUGAGGCAACCCGCUAGCUCUUUUUUAUUUGUUUCUUUGUUUCUAUAAUUUUAUUGAUGAUUUAUUAUCUCUUAUCAUUCUGAUUUUGUGACUUUGAUCUUCAGUAUGAGGGUUCUCAUCAAUGGUUUGAUUGUUGUUGUACUUGACUAUUGAAUUCUUUAUCCUGUGCUCAUGUAUCAGAAAACAUCCUUCACUAGUACAAGUUCUAUCAAACCAUGCAUGAUUGUUGUGAAAAUAGCAGCUGGUAUUCAAAUCUAUUAUUUACUCAACUUCCUGAUUUCAAGAAGUUCCUGAUUUCAUGUCUCUAAUGAUGAAUUGGUUGACUACUAUGCUAAUAUUUGGUUCUGGUGAUUAUACAUUAUUUUUCAAGCUCUGGAUAUCAAUGACUGGUUGCAUCAAAUAAUAAUUAAUCUCUGGGAUCUGAUGAAUCAUGAACAUGGAUGUGGCUGUACCUGCUCGAAUUUCUUUGCGUGAUAUGGCUGCUCUCUGGGGCCAUAUUGACAGAUCUUGAUGACUGUCAUGAGUGUCAUCACAAUGGUGAUAUCCGAGUUAGAUCAUGAAUGACUUUCUAGAUUGCAUAUAUGUCUCUCAUUAAUUGCUUUGUCAUUUUCUAGACAUUAUUUAUAACAAAUGCAAUACUCGCAAGACUUAUUUAUUGCAACUAUAUCUUUUUUUAUGUUUGUAUCUCAUUUGGUUAUUAUAACACAUUAGUUAUAUGUUUUUAUUAUGUAGUGUAUCCUGAACGAUUUGCAUCCCAUAUUUUUAGAAAAAUGUCAAGUCACCAUCCAUAUUGUCAUGUAUCUAUGUUGCCUGUUGUACCUAUGCUUCCUAGGUCAUCUCUCAUCUGUACUCGCUACUCAACACGAAAGGGGAAUGAUGUUAUUGCUAAUGCUUAUAACAUAAGGUGUGAGCUUUCGCCACAUGACAUGGUGUGAGAAAGGUCUUCUUUUGAUGUGACAGAAACCUCCCAAGAAUCUCUGCUAGUUCAACGGCUUGCCACUACUUUGUUGCUGCAGCAUUCUACUAGUGCUAUUAAAGUAAAUACUUCGGCUUUGGGGUAUGAGGUUUAUUGAGGUAAUACUUGAAUCCAUUUUGCCAGCAGGCUGUUGCUUAGGUUUUUCAUUUCUUGUUUGGUAAGGGGAUGUCCUUUGGGCAGGCGUUUCAUUUCAUGUCAUGCAGGUUUUAUCAGAUGAUAACAUGAAUUUUGGUUCUAAUGCUGUGAAAGGCUGUGGAUGAUAUCAUUGAGGCAAAUGAUGUUAUUGGAGAUGACAAUCGAAGUUACAAGUUUGCCAUGGAUUGAGAUGUCUCAUUCUAUCAUACGAUCUUUUCUAGGUCCUAUGUUUUGAAUGACACACAGAGGAUCUAAAAUGGUUUCUUACCAUAGAAGUUAUCUGUAAUAUGAUGUGAUUUACUAUUUGCAGAGUACAAAUUGAUUCCUUCAGCCUUCAGCCUUCAGGCCACCAUUUUAGGAUCUUCAAUUUGUGAAACAUAAUUAUGUUUAUGGUUUUUCAUUGUCGUUGUUACUUAAAUUUUCUAGAUUUAUUACUUACAACCAGACAUAUAUA